AAACCCGGAGACCCGCCGGCAGGUGAUCCCGCGUCAGGGUGAGUUUGGCGGCGUCGGCGCGAGCUGAGCGCGCACCUGUGGCCACUUCCCCGCCCGACGCACCCGGGGCCACCUGCAGCCGAGCAUGGCCACCCCGCCCAAGAGAAGCUGCCCUUCUCCCUCCACCAGCUCCGAGGGCAGCCGCAUCAAAAAGAUCUCCAUCGAAGGGAACAUCGCUGCGGGAAAGUCAACUUUUGUGAAUAUCCUCAAACAAGUCUGUGAAGAUUGGGAAGUGGUGCCUGAACCCGUGGCCAGAUGGUGCAAUGUUCAAAGUACUCAAGAUGAAUUUGAGGAACUAACAACGUCUCAGAAAAGUGGCGGCAAUGUUUUGAAGAUGAUGUAUGAGAAGCCGGAGCGCUGGUCUUUCACCUUCCAGUCCUACGCCUGCCUCAGCCGCGUGCGAGCUCAGCUGGCUGCUCUCGGCGGCAAGCUCAAAGACGCGGAGAAGCCAGUGCUGUUUUUUGAACGAUCUGUGUAUAGUGACAGGUAUAUUUUUGCAUCAAAUUUAUAUGAGUCUGACUGCAUGAAUGAAACAGAGUGGACAAUUUAUCAAGACUGGCAUGAUUGGAUGAAUAACCAGUUUGGUCAAAGCCUUGAAUUGGAUGGAAUCAUUUAUCUUCGAGCUACUCCAGAAAAAUGCUUGAACAGGAUUUAUUUACGGGGAAGAAGUGAAGAACAAGGCAUUCCUCUUGAAUAUUUGGAGAAGCUUCACUCUAAGCAUGAAAGCUGGCUGUUGCACAGAACUCUGAAGACCAACUUUGAUUAUCUGCAGGAGGUGCCUAUCUUAACCUUGGAUGUGAAUGAAGACUUUAAAGACAAACAUGAAAGUAUGGUUGAAAAGGUCAAAGACUUUUUGAGUACUCUGUGAUCUUGCCGAAGAUGCAUUUGGCCCUGAUGGAUUCCAGUGACUCAGCUCAGCGUAUCUUCAUAGCUCUGUGUUCAUACAGGUCUUCAGGAAACCCAAGUUUUUAACCAUUUUUAUUCCAAGAAAAAGAAGUGUUUGGCUGCAGUGUUGAAGGAAGUGAAUUGACAUUUCAACUAAAGCACAUGACAGUGUAAGGAUAAGAAUGGAGUACCGAACUGUGGGCUCUGAAAUAACCACUGAAGAUUCCUUAUGAUUUAAAUAGGAUGAUUAAAUUGUUGUGACUGAGGCAGCAAACGCCUAGGGUCUCAGGGUAUCCACACUUGUUUUAGGACCUCUGGCGAACAACCUGAGCAAUGCUUGACCUAUUAUACCAUUUUACAUCCUGAUUGCCGUUGGGGUACUUCUGAAGACUGGCAGUGACUUGUCAUGUCCUGGCUACCUGGCUGAACCCUGGGGACAUCAGCUUUACCGCUCAAUGCACCAAAAGGUUAAUUGUGUUUGUAGGGUAAGGUUACUCUCUUGUACAUCGCAUGGAUUCAAUCUCUGCCUUUAGAAUGACCAGCCACCUUGUGUGAUUGGGACUGCCCAGGUUUAAUAAAUGAAAUUUUGUUUUCUGGGGAGAACCUAGACAACUACUCACCUAAAUUGAUCUAGAAUUAUUCCUGUUCUCCCAUAUUAAAGCCACUUAAUUUUUCCAGGUGUAAGGGUAGCAGGUGACAUAGCUAAUUGUGCAUGUGCAUUUUCAUGCUCAUGUUUUUGAUAAAAUUCUUAGCAUUCAGGGACUGCUGGCGGUUUUGAGUAGGAACUGAGUUGAGAGAUUCUGACUUACAACUAUCUCAUUUUACCGAUGAGUAAGAUCUCCAUCACAUUGUCAAGGCUUAACCAUCUUUGUUCUGUUCAGGGCUCGGUGGUACCAGAUUUCUGUAGUGUCUUCAAGCAUCACCUUCCCCACUAAUUGAAAACAAACCAUUAUGUUGGAACAUCAGCUACAGUAACAGGAAAAAGUAGCAGUCAGUUUUCAGUUGUCCGAUAAUCUCUUCCUAAUGCCUGUAUUUGCGUCAGAGGCAUUUUAACCUCCUGUGUCUAAAGUUCAAUGUCUCUUACUCAUAUUAUCUGAGUGUGAAAAUAAAUACGGUCAGGUUAAUUAGUAUCAAUUUUAAUACGUUCCUCAAGUAAUUUUGCACAGUGCUUUCUGGGAAAAGAAAGAAAUCAAAGUUGCUAUCUGAGAUGAUGUAAUCUAGAGUAGAAGUUGUACACAAAUGAAAUAAAGAAAUAGACACGGUAAAGAGAGGCAACAAUACCUUUGCAGUGUAUGCGUGCAUUGUGUACGGUGUAUGGAGAAAGUUUUUUUUCCAGAAUCAUACAAUGGAGCUUUGUUGUCUUGCCUCCACAGGAAGUCAGAGACUUGGUUCUCAAACAGAAUGACCUCGAUUGGGCCUUGUGAUUGUGUACAUCUGGGGGGGAAUGCGGGAAUCUAUUCUCAAUAAGCUUCCAAAGUGAUUUGGUUGUAUCUGGUCAGUGGACUGGUGACGGGACCACUGAGCUGAAUUAUUUGAAAAGGUUUCACUAUUUUUUUCACUUUGGAAAAAAUCUCUAUGAGGCACUUCUCAGGCAGCAAUCACCAUUCUUUCUUCAAAGAGCGGGGGAACAUUAAGGCAGCAGAGUCAUCUUCUGAUGUUAAAAUGUGAGAAAGGGAGAAUAUUUACUUUGUAGUUUCACCUUGAGGAAUGAAUUAAGGCCCUAAACUAAGAGCUGCUAUAAAGUGUGAGCAAGAAUUCUUCCAGCAGGCACGUGAGCCUGUGCAAAGCAAUUUGUCCAUUUUACACCUGACUGUAAUGAGGGGACAAGGUAGGGCUGGCUCCUGGAAGCUGCCUGAGUCCAACAUUGCCAAUCCUAGCUUGACGUCUGUGGAUUGUAUAAUCCUUAUCAGAUAGAGGAGAAAUAGCUGGAGUCUUUGUUCAUUAUUCACUAUGGAAGUACUUCUUAUUAAGUGUGUGUUUAUGUGGCCAUGUACGGAUACUCAAAAAUCCUCUGGGAAACUAACACAAGGUCCCAAGUUCUCAAUUAGCAGAGUAGAUUCCCCAGCCCUGUCACUUAAUGGUAUAGCAGAAGAUGUGUUUGGCAAUUAGCUGCAUGAACUGUAAAACUGGAGUCCUGACCACUCACAGUCAUUAAAGAUCCCAGGGUACUUUUCGUGUGGCAGGUGGAAACCUGGACAAAUUCCAACCCUGAUAAUUAAAUUACAUUCUGCCCAGCUUCCUGUAUACCUUCAGUUGGACUCUGUUCCUUUUCCAUCCUUAAUCAGAGUGGACUUGUACAUUAGUAGAGAGUCACUGGAUUCUUAAAGAUGCCUGCAAUAUGGUACCAAUGUCCCCUAAUGGAAGGAGGAACAGUUGGUAGAUUAGUCCUCAACUGACACAACACAAAGGGAAAGUUGUUAGCUUGGUGUUUCAAGAGACAUAGGAUCACUC